GCUUCAACCAUAAAGUCCACCUGCCCAGCGACUGCAUGCGUAAUAAAACAAUGCCCAUGAUAUUCAUGCUGCUUUUUGUGUAGAUGAAAUUAAAUGACUAUUUUGUGGUGUAUGCAAUGUGACCGAACUCAGAUUCUGCAGACAACAGCACAGUGCUUUCUAAUUCUUGAAGUAUCUAACAAAAAAGAAGAAAACCAUCCAUAUUCAAUGUCAGGAUUGGUACGGGAGCUAAAGGAUGCACCUUGUCCAUACACGGAAUCCCAGGCAGCAGCCAGCCUUUCCUCCGAGGUGCAGGAAGCACCUACACUCACAGUGAGAGGCACCUGGCCACCCCCUGGGGCAAUCCCUGCCAUGGCACCCUUCACACAUCCCUAAUGCUUCUUUCUGUCAUAUCUGCCAGACCCUUCUUAUUCAGCCACUGGGACCAGGGCUCAGGUCCAGCUCUGGCUUUUGCCCCCAACUUCUUGGCGAAGAUGGGAACUCGGCAAGAGUCAAUUGUUAUCUCUGGGCUAUUUCCUCACCGCUACUUGAGGGGAUUGGGUCAUCCAGGGGUGGCACCUUGCAUGAGAGAGACCCCAAGGCCACCUCCGGAAUCCCCAGGGAAGAGCAACCCAUUAGAGUCUUCUGCUGCCGUGGCGCAGGGUGGUGACGUCACGCCUGCUGAGUCUGAAAUGCAGGAUGUAAAUGACACCCCUCCGAUGACUUGGGAUGUUCAGAAAACAGAACCAUCCAGAAUAAGGAAGAGGCAUACGGUGGCAGCUGGAUCAGAAAGCUAACAUCAUCUGUGGGAGAAAACCAGUUGACUAUUGCUGCUAUCUGACAUAACAAGUUGGACGAGCUCUUGACAAGUUAUGUUGUGCUGCCUGGGGCUCCUGACUUUACCAAAGGAGCCUAGAAAUACAUCUAAAUUGGAGUUCAAUAAAACUACAUGUCUACUCAAUGAA